CACACCCCCAUCCGAGUGGAACACUGGUGUCCGCAUCCGAAUGGAAGAGGAACGGGGCUCAAAAGGGUCAGUAAAUACAUUUUUAAAAAAGAAAGGAGUCCACAACGCCGAGCGAGCGUAGACUGGGCCGGGCGCGCAGGCCUUGUACGUAUUCGCGUGUGUUUUUCCGCGUGGGGCUCGGUCCCAGUGUGUCGGCGCGCAUUCGGGCACAGAUACCCAGGGGGCAUUUGGUUUUCUGCACGUGGCUGCGGGUGGGGAGCACGCAGCGGGGAGAAAGAUUUGUGGGAUCCCCUGCGCUAGUGGCUCGGGAAUCCGAAGCACCCCGGUUCACGAGAGGACUUGACUCAGAGGUGGCUGGGCGGCUCCACGUGGGGCUCCAGAGCUGCGCGAGCCUGGAGCUUUUGUUAAGGCUCAUUGGCCGAAAGGGACGCUCCGCGGUCGGCUCGGCUAGCCCGGGGCCCGGGAAAGGGAAGAAGCUGCAGAUCUGUACAAGAGAAGCGGCCG
rnacentral:lncRNA from 1 species